GCGGAAUAAAUUCAAAUAAUUAUUAUUCAACUUUAAUUCAAAUAAUUAAAUCAAAUAUCUUACGUCCAAUAAAAUUUUACUAAAAAUAAAACAAUAGAUCUAAGUUCAAUGAAGUUGACAAUGCUAAAUCUCGCCUCUAAAAGCUCUGUCCCAAUAUUUCUUCCCACGCUCGCAAUUAAUUAUCUGAAUCUGAAAAAUAGAAAGAAAGGUAAUGAGCUAGACAGCCCAGUA
rnacentral:lncRNA from 1 species